rnacentral:rRNA from 1 species
GAUGAACGCUAGCGGGAGGCCUAACACAUGCAAGCUGAGCGGUAGAGUUUCUUCGGAGACUUGAGAGCGGCGUACGGGUGCGGAACACGUGUGCAACCUGCCUUUUUCAGGGGGAUAACCUUUCGAAAGGAAGAUUAAUACCCCAUAAUAUAUAGAGUGGCAGCACUUUAUAUUGAAAACUGAGGUGGACAAAGAGGGGAACGCGCAAGAUGAGUUAGUUGGUGAGGUAACGGCUCACCAAGUCGAUGAUCUUUAGGGGGCCUGAGAGGGUGAUCCACCACACUGGUACUAAGACACGGACCAGACUCCUACGGGAGGCAGCAGUGAGGAAUAUUGGACAAUGGGUUAGCGCCUGAUCCAGCCAUCCCGCGUGAAGGACGACGGCCCUAUGGGUUGUAAACUUCUUUUGUACAGGGAUAAACCUAUUUACGUGUAAAUAGCUGAAGGUACUGUACGAAUAAGCACCGGCUAACUCCGUGCCAGCCGCCGCGGUAA